UCCUCGAUAGCUCAGUCGGUAGAGCGCCGGACUGUUAAUCCGCAGGUCCCUGGUUCGAGUCCAGGUCGGGGAG
rfam:Acidovorax sp. SCN 68-22 ABS38_C0171, whole genome shotgun sequence.